CAGCCGUAAACGAUACUCGCUAGGUGUCGGCCACGGUGCGACCGUUGUCGGUGCCGUAGGGAAGCCGUGAAGCGAGCCACCUGGGAAGUACGGCCGCAAGGCUGGAACUUAAAGGAAUUGGCGGGGGAGCACCACAACGGGUGGAGCUUGCGGUUUAAUUGGAUUCAACGCCGGAAAUCUUACCGGGACCGACAGCAACAUGAAGGCCAGGCUGAAGACUUUGCCGGAUUAGCUGAGAGGAGGUGCAUGGCGUAGUCGUGU
rnacentral:rRNA from 1 species